UACGUAGGGCGCAAGCGUUGUCCGGAAUUAUUGGGCGUAAAGAGCUCGUAGGCGGCCUGUUGCGUCCGCUGUGAAAACCUGGGGCUCAACCCCGGGCCUGCAGCCGAUACGGGCAAGCUAGAAUUCGGUAGGGGAGACUGGAAUUCCUGGUGUAGCGGUGAAAUGCGCAGAUAUCAGGAGGAACACCGGUGGCGAAGGCGGGUCUCUGGGCCGAUAUUGACGCUGAGGAGCGAAAGCAUGGGGAGCGAACAGG
rnacentral:rRNA from 1 species